AUGUCCAAUACACCCUACAUGCAACCAAAUGGAAGUAAGAUGAAAAACUCUACAGACAGUAAAUUAACACCAGUGGAGUUUCUGUCUGGCAAUGAGUUUACCAUCAGAGUUCAGGAACUGAAAAACAUAGUUUCCACAAGAACAAAAUCUUAUAGAAAAAUAGACAAGGGCAAAACCGUACAAAACCACAUGAAAGUAUUAAUUACCUGUAUGAAACCACCUCUAACUAGUUCUUCCAUUGCUUUGCCUCCGACACCAGUGGCAUGGAAUACAAGCGUCUCAUACCCUUCUUUGUUCAGUCUAUCUUUGACCGCAUUUGCACAUUGUGUGGUAACACCAAACAUUGUAAUUCCAACAGUCAGCUUUGUGUCUGUUUCAUCUGAUUCACUGGAAGCCAUUAAUAUCCCACAUACCAAUCCGGCAACAGCUGAAGCAGCAUUCGACAAUAUAACACGGCUGACACUGUUUAUUCCACAUAUGUCAACAACUGAAGGAAACAAUACCAAGUCAGAUGUUCCAACAUAG
rnacentral:rRNA from 1 species